rnacentral:rRNA from 1 species
UACAGAGGAGGCAAGCGUUGUUCGGAAUCACUGGGCUUAAAGCGCGUGUAGGCGGCCUCGCAAGUACUUUGUGAAAUCCCUCGGCUCAACCGGGGAAUUGCUGGGUAUACUGCGGGGCUUGAGGCGGGUAGGGGUGCUUGGAACUCUAGGUGGAGCGGUGAAAUGCGUAGAUAUCUAGAGGAACGCCUGUGGCGAAAGCGGAGCACUGGGCCCGUCCUGACGCUAAGACGCGAAAGCGUGGGUAGCAAACGGG